CAAUUUUCAAAAAGUUUUAAAAAGUUUAUGGGUUUGGGGUGUCCAUUCUAAGGGAAGUAAAUGAGAUGUUCUGUGCUUGCUGCACGUGGAUUCCCAAUAUAUAGAUUUUUGUUAUAAAUUUCAUAUAUUUGAACAUUUGUGAUUCCUUAUUUUAUCGUGUUUUAUUUGAUAAUUUAUAAUUUCCUUUUUUUGUGUUGUGCUUUUUAAGGUGCAUCAGUCAUGUUUGGGUGGACCAAGGAAGAGUGAUAACACUAAAUAUUAUGAUAUUCUCGGUGUUGCAAAAAAUGCCAGUGAAAAUGAAAUCAAGAAAGCCUAUAGAAAGGCAGCGAUGAGGAACCAUCCGGACAAGGUUGGGGAUCCUGAGAAGUUAGCUCAUCAAUAAAGUUAGAAUGUAGUGUAAAUUAUGAAGAUAAUUCUAUUUAGUCAUUUGUGGCUGUAGCGGAUGCAAUUGUGCUGCAUGGUGGACUCCGUGUGCAAUGAAAAUUAGUAUUACUGUUGCAUGCUGAUGACUUGAUCGUGCUAUGUGUUUGUUUGUGACUUUUUGUUUAUAUUAAAUAUAUGCGUUUGUUUGUGACUUUUCAUUUAUAUGUAAUAUAUGCGUUUAUUUGCGACUUUUCAGUUAUAUGAAAUAUGUGUUUGUUUGCGA